UGAGCAAUCUGCCCUUCUCAUCGGAAUAAGCGUUGGAAACGACGUCUAAUGCCGAAUACGACCUCCUUUCACAUGAUCGGAGGUGGAAAGCUCCGGCGGAGAAGGAUGAGCUCGCGGCCUAUCAGCUAGUUGGCGAGGUAACGGCUCACCAAGGCAACGACGGGUAGCUGGUCUGAGAGGAUGGCCAGCCACAUUGGGACUGAGAUACCGGCCCAGAUCCGUAACGGG
rnacentral:rRNA from 1 species